GGCCGGCUGGCGCAAUGGUAGCGCAUCAGACUUCUACUUCGCGUCUGACGUGUAGUCAUCUGGGGUUGUGGGUUCGAGCCCCACGUUGGUCA